rnacentral:rRNA from 1 species
GCACAAGCGGUGGAGCAUGUGGUUAAUUCGAAGCAACGCGAAGAACCUUACCAGGUCUUGACAUCCCCUGACAACCCAAGAGAUUGGGCGUUCCCCUUCGGGGGACAGGGUGACAGGUGGUGCAUGGUUGUCGUCAGCUCGUGUCGUGAGAUGUUGGGUUAAGUCCCGCAACGAGCGCAACCCUCGCCUCUAGUUGCCAGCAUUCGGUUGGGCACUCUAGAGGGACUGCCGGCGACAAGUCGGAGGAAGUGGGAUGACGUCAAAUCAUCAUGCCCCUUAUGACCUGGGCUACACACGUGCUACAAUGGGCGGUACAAAGGGCUGCGAACCCGCGAGGGGGAGCGAAUCCCAAAAAGCCGCUCUCAGUUCGGAUUGCAGGCUGCAACUCGCCUGCAUGAAGCCGGAAUCGCUAGUAAUCGCGGAUCAGCAUGCCGCGGUCGAAUACGUUCCGGGCCUU